CAACCAAAUGGGGCACUGGAAAAGGAACUGCCCACAGUAUCUAGCCAAGCUGAAGGCGAACAAGGCCAAUAACAUUGGCACUUCUUCAGGAGCCUGAAAAGUGGAGGAAGCUGAAACAAGGCGACAUGGAACUCAUCGUGGGUGAUGGGAAAAGAGUACCCGUUCUUGCAACCGGCACAUUUCAUUUUUCAUGUCCUUCUGGCCUUGUAGUUAAUUUAAACAAUUGUUUGUUUGCACCUGGUAUAACCAGAAACAUUAUUUCAGUUUCCCUUUUGUUUGAACAAGGUUUCAAGUA